rnacentral:tRNA from 1 species
CCGAUCUUAGCUCAGUUGGUAGAGCGGAGGACUGUAGUAUCUCCCAGACAUCCUUAGGUCGCUGGUUUGAUUCCAGCAGAUCGGA